AGGCUCAACCACAGAGUUCUCACCAAUGGUUUGAUUGCCUGAGGUUAUCUGAAGCAUCAAAGGUAUCUUUGGGAACUAACCUGGAUUUUAACCCACAGAUCUGAUACUUGAUACUCUCCUUCCAGAAGGAACUUUUUUGAUAACUUUGACUACAACUCAUGUUUGCCUCUUGGAUUACUUCUGCUCUAUCUGCUCCAGACUGCAGACACUUCGGGCAGAUGCACUCCUAGAAGCAUCCCUGCCAUGCCUGGCCGCUGAGUUUGCCACUAUCCUGGUUCCCCCGGAUGUUGACUGCUCCUCUGGAGAAGUUUGGCUUAACUAACAUUGAGUAUUCUUUCUAUCCUACCCUGCAGAGAGCUUUCGGAAAGUUUUCCAAGAGAAUACCCAUCAUCGUAUUUACAAAGCAGUCCAAAGUAUUUGAAUAACAUACAGCCCUAUAAACUCCACAGGCAAAGUCUUAGUUUUGGGGGAAGAUAGACUGCUUAGUUGAAAUAGACACAUGUGGACUUCCUUGUUUGAGGACAGAUGCACUUAUGACAGGAUGUAAACAUUCAGUGUCUAUACACACACACACAUACAUAUAUAUAUUUCCCUUUUUCCAUUAGAACAGAUCGUUUGGCCCAUUGUCCAGCAAAGGGCAACCUUCCCCAGAAUGAAAGAAACAUCUCAUCUCUUCUCUCCAGGAAGCAGAGAUAGGCAAGAUAAGCCCCUUCCCUGACCUCCAGGGAAGAUAAGCCUGUUCUCUGUUGCCACCAAUUCAGGCUUCAGUUUUAAUAUCUCAUUGAGGCUCUUUCUGGUGGGUUCUGAAGUGCUAUUACUGGUGUUAGUAAGAGAGAUGCAUGUCUGCUGGGGACAGUGGCAAGCCAGAAAGGACAUAACUGGUUUUAAGGGGGCAGGCACCACCCAGAAGCAAUGGAUAUUUGACAACUAUAUUUUGGGCAUGUGUCGCUGGAUUUUAAGACUUAAAAAAGCCAAAAACUCAGGUUUUUACAGGAAAUCUCCUGAUUUUUAAAUGUUGUCAACCAACUGAAAUCUUUAAAAAAUUAUCAUAUGAGCUGAACAAGUAUGUCCACAGUACCUAUUUGCUGCCAGUAUAUAACCUCUGGGUUAUUGUGACAGAAAAGACAUGAGGGCUUUUAGCAUGGAUGGUAAAUGAGUCAGCAGCAGGCAAGCAGGCAGAAGAGGCUGGAUAGGUGAGGAAAAGAAGAGAGCAGAAGCCACAAAUAUAAUCCUUAUGUGGAGGGUGCAUACUGCUCUAGAAGGACUGGGUAAGUGGGCUCUAAAAAGGAGCACUGUGAGAGACACCAAUUGCACUCAGGAGUUGUAUUGGAUCAGAAUCCUUGCAGGCUAGCCAUCCAGUCUUCAAUGGGUGGGAAUAAGAACAACUAAGUGUCCAUUCACUGGACACUCACACUGUGUCAGGCAUUGUUCUGCAAAAAUUCACAUAUAUUACUUAAUUUAAUCAUCAGAAUAUCCCUGGGAGGUUGAUAUUGUUAUUAUCCUCAUUUAACCUUCAUCACAAGCCUGCCCCAGUUGACUUCACAGAGCAGGAGUUUUGUGAAUGCACUGUUGUGGGCAGAAUGCCUGCUUCACAGCUACCAUGGGUUUCAUGUAGCAACCGCACCCCAACUCUAAGAAACCUAAGACUCAUAGCCUGGUGUCAUGGAAGAGCUCCUGAACCUGUUCUUUGGGAGUCAAUGAACUGGAUAUGUUAGCAUGCCAAAGUUGAGACAGUGGGAAGUAACUACACUGUUAUAGUUUUAUAGCCUAUUGCCUUGGAAAUCAAUAGCAGAGCUCUGAAGGAGAGAGUUACAGGACAGGUCUGUUUUAAUGGGAAGAAUGGCAUGGGCUUUCUAUGCCCUAGAAAGUUAUUUCAUGCAGGACUUUGCAGGGAGAGAUUUGGGGUAACUGGAGAGCAGCAUGAAGAUACUGGGAACCCAGAGCAGAAAGGAGUGAAAAGGAAACCUAGAAGGAGGCAAAAAGAAAGUUGAUCUGCUACAUGACUUUUCUGAGGGCCAGUCUUGUCUGGGAGCUAUUGGCCUGAGUAGGAAAAAGCCACAGAAGGAAAUGGGGUUAGGAAGUUUAAUCAGUCCAAAUGUCGGAAUAGAGCUUCUGGUUUCUGAACAUUUUUCCAUUUACUUACGUAACCCCAGCCACAGAAGUGGGGGGCAGGGGAGGGGGUGGA